rnacentral:misc_RNA from 1 species
GAACGCACAUUGCGCCCUUUGGUAUUCCUUAGGGCAUGCCUGUUCGAGCGUCAUUUUCACCUUCAAGCACAGCUUGGUGUUGGGCGUCUGUCCUCGCGGACUCGCCUCGAAACUAUUGGCAGCCACUCCAGCGGCUUUGAGCGCAGCAGAAUUGCGUCUCUUGCGGCGAGGGGGGGCAUCCAUAAGCAUACUUUUUAUUUUGACCUCGGAUCAGGUAGGGAUACCCGCUGAACUUAAG